CCUACGUGUGGCAGCAGUGGGGAAUAUUGGACAAUGGGCGAAAGCCUGAUCCAGCCAUGCCGCGUGUGUGAAGAAGGCCUUCGGGUUGUAAAGCACUUUCAGUGGGGAAGAAAGCCUUGGGGCUAAUACCCUCGAGGAAGGACAUCACCCACAGAAGAAGCACCGGCUAACUCCGUGCCAGCAGCCGCGGUAAUACGGAGGGUGCGAGCGUUAAUCGGAAUUACUGGGCGUAAAGCGCGCGUAGGCGGUCUGAUAAGCCGGUUGUGAAAGCCCCGGGCUCAACCUGGGAACGGCAUCCGGAACUGUCAGGCUAGAGUGCAGGAGAGGAAGGUAGAAUUCCCGGUGUAGCGGUGAAAUGCGUAGAGAUCGGGAGGAAUACCAGUGGCGAAGGCGGCCUUCUGGACUGACACUGACGCUGAGGUGCGAAAGCGUGGGUAGCAAACAGGAUUAGAUACCCCGGUAGU
rnacentral:rRNA from 1 species